rnacentral:rRNA from 1 species
AUGAACAACAAGGAGUUUUGGGAGAAGCGUCGCCGCAACCCCUAUGCGGUGGACCAAGAACCCACUUUGGUCAACCACUUGUUCUGGAACCGUUUUCAGUUUGCCAUCUACUUUGAUGUGAUCAAGGCCAAGAAGAAUCUGUUUGUUGAUGUUUGCUCCAUUGACACUGAUGCUAUGGAGAAGGACCCAGAGUACUUUGGAGAAGCCCUUCAGAUGUGCACUCAGCUGAACAUUCUCAGGAUCAUGCAGUUUAACAAGGACUUCGAUGCAGAUUUGGUGGCUCAAUUCUAUGCCACCGUCCAUCUUGGAACAGAUGGCGACAGGACUCUGACUUGGAUGACCAAUGGCAAGCUGCUUUCUGUCAAGUGGCGGGCGUUCAUGGAGUUACUUGAUGUGGUGGAUAACGGGCUUGAGACUCCUGUCGGUUUCCAUCCUCACCGCAAUGUUACAUCCACCCACAAGCAAGCCCUUUGGCCCUACUGCACUGUGAAGGUUCACCCUGUCACUAAGAAGAAGACCUACGAGCUGUAUCCGUAUCUGGACAUUCUUCAUCGCAUAUUCCAUGAGACUCUCUUCCCUCGCAUUGGGAAUCUGGAUUAG